GCCCCUGCGGGCCCCCCCGGGCAAGGGCUGCAGUCCCCGCGCGACUCGGUGGCCGUGGCGCGCGGGGGACUCGCUUAUCCGGGAACCGCUCGGAAUUGAAUAAAGCAACGCGAUUGGAGGCCGCCCCGGAGCGGGAGAGAAUUCCCCCACCCCUGAACCGUUUUCGCGGGUCGGGGCAAGUGGUUUUGCAAAUGAGAUUUGCCACAGACAUUUGCCCUGAAAGUGGCAAAAUGCCAGGAAUGAAGAGAAAGAAAUGUGAGAAUCCGAGAAAUAAAUGAUUCACCUGGGAAAGUUCCAACGUCUGCAAACACUCUUAGGGCCGCCCCUAAGAGAAACACUGGACUUUUUACAGUCUUUUCUGGAUACAAUAAAGAGGUCGGAGGUAGGGACGAUCCCCUCCUCACUUGA